rnacentral:misc_RNA from 1 species
CUGUAAGGAUAUAUGAUUCUUGACGAGCAAAUAGUUACGAGUUAUUUUGAGUAGCUGAUGCUGGGAAGGUGGUUGUGCAUUUGUAAAGCAUGUGAUGAAAACUACAUUGGACUGUCUCAUGGGAGGAUGGUCGUUGAUAUUCCGAGGGGAUUAGAUACUAGAAUUUAACAUGCAUAUUUUUCGUGUCUGUACAUACAUUUUUUGCUGACUCAUUAUUGUACCCUUAAAG